GAGCCGUGCAGUAGAUAACGUGAUAAGUAUCCCGCCUGGGGAGUACGCACGCAAGUGUGAAACUCAAAGGAAUUGACGGGGGCCCCCACAAGCGGUGGAGUAUGUGGUUUUAUUUGAUGCAACGCGAAGAACCUUACCAAGGCUUGACAUGUCGCGAACUCUUCUGAAAGGAAGAGGUGCCUUCGGGAGCG
rnacentral:rRNA from 1 species